GUUUUUACUUCUUUUGUGGAUCUUCAGUUACUUUAGGCCAUCUGGAUGUAUACGUGCAAGUCACAAGGGAUGCGAUGGCUUGGCUUGGGCUCAGAGGCCUGACACUAGUUAUUAUAAAAUGUACUUUCAGCAGUCUUCUGGGACUUGACUACCUUGUGGAUUGUACUAGAAAUGUCAGGUAUGGUGACUGCUCUGCCCACCACUCUAAAUGAAACUGUCCCCCCACAGUCUCUGUUGCCCAGGUGUCCUAUGUCCCUCGUCACAGCUGAAUGGACCAAGGCAGAUGUGCUAUCAAGGACAGCCAAUCACAAGUUUUGUUUAGAAUCUACCCCAUGAAGAUUCUGCUUCAGUGGUUGUGGACAUUCACCUAGACCUGGGGUGAGUCUGACUCAGGUCGUCCUUGGACCACAUCUUGAAAAAUUCCGCUCUGGAUGAAGAAACUAGAAACAGGAGACAAACUCCAUUCCAAUUGAUGAGCUUCUUUCUGGCUGCUCAACUAGACCAUGGCCACCCUGCAGGAUGCUAGAAAGUCUGCAGAUUUGGGAGUCCCAGUCGCUUAAAGGAGCAAACACCAGCCUGGG
rnacentral:lncRNA from 1 species